GAUGAAGAACGUAGCGAAAUGCGAUACGUAAUGUGAAUUGCAAAUUCAGUGAAUCAUCGAGUCUUUGAACGCACAUUGCGCCCCCUGGUAUUCCGGGGGGCAUGCCUGUCCGAGCGUCAUUGCUGCCCUCAAGCACGGCUUGUGUGUUGGGCCCCGUCCUCCGAUUCCGGGGGACGGGCCCGAAUGGCAGCGGCGGCACCGCGUCCGGUCCUCGAGCGUAUGGGGCUUUGUCACCCGCUCUGUAGGCCCGGCCGGCGCUUGCCGAUCAACCCAAAUUUUUAUCCAGGUUGACCUCGGAUCAGGUAGGGAUACCCGCUGAACUUAAGCAUAUCAAUAAGCGGAGGA
rnacentral:misc_RNA from 1 species